CGGGGUGCAGCAGGCGCGAAAACUUUGCAAUACACGAAAGUGUGACAGGGCUAUCCCGAGUGCCAUCCGCUGAGGAAGGCUUUUACCCAGUCUAGAAAGCUGGGGGAAUAAGGAGAGGGCAAGUCUGGUGUCAGCCGCCGCGGUAAUACCAGCUCUCCGAGUGGUGUGGAUGUUUAUUGGGCCUAAAGCAUCCGUAGCUGGCUAAGUUAGUCCCUUGUUAAAUCCACCGAAUUAAUCGUUGGAUCGCGGGGGAUACUGCUUGGCUAGGGGACGAGAGAGGCAGACGGUAUUUUCGGGGUAGGGGUGAAAUCCUAUAAUCCCGGGAAGACCACCAGUGGCGAAGGCUGUCUGCUAGAACGCGCCCGACGGUGAGGGAUGAAAGCUGGGGGAGCGAACCGGAUUAGAUACCCGGGUAGUCCCAGCUGUAAACGAUGCAGGCUAGGUGUUUGGACGGCCACGUGCCGUUCUAGUGCCGCAGGGAAGCUGUUAAGCCUGCCGCCUGGGGAGUACGAUCGCAAGAUUGAAACUUAAAGGAAUUGGCGGGGGAGCAC
rnacentral:rRNA from 1 species